AUCAUGGCUCAGGAUUAAACGCUAGCGGGAGGGCAUAACACAUGCAAGUCGCACGGUAUUAUGGUUUCGGCCAUAAGAGAGUGGCGGACGGGUGCGUAACGCGUAUGCAACCUACCUUAUGCAGGGGGAUAGCCCAUGGAAACGUGGAUUAAUACCCCAUAAAAUUAUGAGAUCGCAUGGUUUAUAAUAAAAGUUACGGCGGCAUAAGAUGGGCAUGCGUCUGAUUAGUUAGUUGGUAAGGUAACGGCUUACCAAGACCACGAUCAGUAGGGGUCCUGAGAGGGUUUUCCCCCACACUGGUACUGAGACACGGACCAGACUCCUACGGGAGGCAGCAGUGAGGAAUAUUGGUCAAUGGCCGCGAGGCUGAACCAGCCAUCCCGCGUGCAGGAAGAAUGCCUUAUGGGUUGUAAACUGCUUUUCUUAACCAAGAAAAGGGCCGACGCGUCGGUCACUGACGGUAGUUAAGGAAUAAGCAUCGGCUAACUCCGUG
rnacentral:rRNA from 1 species